rnacentral:rRNA from 1 species
UACGAUACGAGUUUGAUCCUGGCUCAGGAUGAACGCUAGCGGCAGGCUUAAUACAUGCAAGUCAAGGGGGUAGCAAUACAACCGGCGCACGGGUGAGUAACGCGUACACAACAUACCAUAUACUGGGGUAUAGCUUCGGGAAACUGGAGAUAAUCCCCCAUAACAUUGCGAGAGGGCAUCUGAUUGCAAUUAAAGUUUCGACGGUAUAUGAUUGGUGUGCGUUUGAUUAGCUUGUUGGUAGGGUAACGGCCUACCAAGGCGACGAUCAAUAGCUGGCGUGAGAGCGCGACCAGCCACACUGGAACUGAGACACGGUCCAGACUCCUACGGGAGGCAGCAGUAGGGAAUAUUGGACAAUGGGCGAAAGCCUGAUCCAGCCAUGCCGCGUGAUAGAUGAAGGCCCUCUGGGUUGUAAAUAUCUUUUAUCUGGGAAGAAACUCCUCUAUUCUUAGAGGCCUGACGGUACCAGAGGAAUAAGCACCGGCUAACUCCGUG